rnacentral:ncRNA from 1 species
CACCGCCCGUCGCUACUACCGAUUGGAUGGUUUAGUGAGGCCCUUGGAUCGCCAGCCGGGUGGUCCCACCUCCCUGGCGGAGCGCUGAGAAGACAGUCAAACUUGACUGACUAGAGGAAGUAAAAGUCCUAACAAGGUUUCCGUAACAAGGUUUCCGUAGUGAACCUGCGGAAG